UGAAAUAUCGUACAGAGGUUAUUUGAUGAUUGUAGGUGAGCAGUAAGAAAUUAUUUUUUUAAAUACAUAUUCUAGGGGCGUAAUUUGAGUGGAAUAAUUACAGCACUAUAGGUAAAUACAAUCAAAUAAUAAAUAUUGUAAAUAUGAAACUAAACAUAAACGGGUUUGGUGGACCGAUGCCGCUAGUUGGAGAGGGUCCGAUUGUUGUUUUGAACUGAUGCGGCUACUGGAGCAAUGUUCACGAAACGUAAAUCUUGUUGUGGUCGAAAUACUUAAGUACGACUGAUCCGAGGCAGAUGAAAAAAAAAAUUGAACCUGUUCCUGAUGUCGAAAAGCGUUUGCUAGUUGUUAAUGAAACAAGAUGUGAAUUAAAAAGAAGAACAGGAUAAAAAAUAUUCGAACUGUAUUAAAGUGUGUUUAUUAGUUUUAAAAUUAUAUUGUUAUAUAAUAUAUUAUUUACCCUCUUAAAAGGAUCAUAUGUAACGAGCUUUUGUCUUAGAUCAAAAGUCAUUUGGAAAUAUUGAGUCAUUUAUAGGCUAGCUGUCCAUUGAAAUAUCACAUGUUUUAUGCUUCCGGUUUUUUUUUCAUACGUCAUAUUCAUAUUUUUGAAGUCAUAUUUUUGAAGAUAAUGAUUAAAAGAAGUCGUUU